UACGUAGGUGGCAAGCGUUGUCCGGAAUUAUUGGGCGUAAAGCGCGCGCAGGCGGUCCUUUAAGUCUGAUGUGAAAGCCCACGGCUCAACCGUGGAGGGUCAUUGGAAACUGGGGGACUUGAGUGCAGAAGAGGAAAGCGGAAUUCCACGUGUAGCGGUGAAAUGCGUAGAGAUGUGGAGGAACACCAGUGGCGAAGGCGACUUCCUGGCCUGUUCUUGACGCUGAGGCGCGAAAGCUAGGGGAGCAAACGGG
rnacentral:rRNA from 1 species